GCUCGUUUUGGUAGAGCAUAUCCUAAAAUUGGAACGAUACAGAGAAGAUUAGCAUGGCCCCUGCACAAGGAUGACACGCAAAUUUGUGAAGCGUAGAACAUGCAG